rnacentral:rRNA from 1 species
AGAGUUUGAUCAUGGCUCAGAACGAACGCUGGCGGCGUGCCUAACACAUGCAAGUCGUACGUGAAAUCCGCUUUCGGGCGGAGAGUAAAGUGGCGCACGGGUGAGUAACGCGUGGGUAAUCUGCCCCGAGACCUGGGAUAACCCGCCGAAAGGCGGGCUAAUACCGGAUAAUGUCCCUCCACACAAGUGGUUGGACCAAAGGUGGCCCUGCUACCGACUCGGGAUGGGCCCGCGUACCAUUAGCUUGUUGGUAGGGUAACGGCCUACCAAGGCUGCGAUGGUUAGCUGGUCUGAGAGGACGAUCAGCCACACUGGAACUGAGACACGGUCCAGACUCCUACGGGAGGCAGCAGUGGGGAAUAUUGCGCAAUGGGGGAAACCCUGACGCAGCGACGCCGCGUGAGCGAUGAAGGCCCUCGGGUCGUAAAGCUCUGUCAGGUGGGAAGAAACCUUCGGUGAUCAAUAGUCACCGGAAUUGACGGUACCACCAGAGGAAGCACCGGCUAACUCCGUGCCAGCAGCCGCGGUAACACGGAGGGUGCAAGCGUUGUUCGGAAUUACUGGGCGUAAAGGGCGUGUAGGCGGCCUGGUAAGUCUGAAGUGAAAUCCGUCGGCUCAACCGACGAACUGCUUCAGAAACUGCCAGACUUGAGUACGGGAGAGGAGAGCGGAAUUCCCCAGUGUAGAGGUGAAAUUCGUAGAUAUUGGGAAGAACACCGGUGGCGAAGGCGGCUCUCUGGACCGAUACUGACGCUGAGACGCGAAAGCGUGGAGAGCUAACAGGAUUAGAUACCCUGGUAGUCCACGCCGUAAACGGUGAGUACUACGUGUAAGGGGGUUCCGACCCCCC